UUGACUUCAGAAAAUGUUUUCACUGUUUCUCUCCAUCUGAGGUGGCAGCGUGCUCUCUUACCAGCAUCAGGAACUCAGGCCCACGGGAUGGUGGGGGUGACUGCACUUCUGUCAAGACAGCUGAACUGGUCACUGCAGGCGCCCUCACCUCCAGUGGCAUCAAUCCAGACACCAGCACUGACACUGGCCGAGCUCAAAACUGCCUCAGCCCUGAAGACACAGCUGACAAAUAGAAGGGGGCCAUGCCCUGUUACAGCAGGUGCUCUCACUUUGUGGGUCCUUAUGUAACUGUGCCGUGUUAAUCAGGAUCACCCAUUCUACAUUGUGUGAUGCUGCUGCAGUGUCUCCUAGUUACUUGUUUCUGAUCUGAGGAUCAAGAGCAAGGAACUCAGGGAGAGAUCCAGGAAGACAUCUGACUGUGUUAAGAGAGGACAGACACAGUGACACGGGGAGCGAUGACUAUCACAGCAAACUAAACUGACUUCACAACUAAUGC